AUUUACAUAUUUUAUAUGAAUUUAAUAUUGAAGAUAUUAAGGUGGUUAUAUUAACCUGUAAAUA
rnacentral:tRNA from 1 species